UACGGAGGGAGCUAGCGUUGUUCGGAAUUACUGGGCGUAAAGCGCGCGUAGGCGGCUUUGUAAGUUAGAGGUGAAAGCCCGGAGCUCAACUCCGGAACUGCCUUUAAAACUGCAUCGCUUGAAUCCAGGAGAGGUGAGUGGAAUUCCGAGUGUAGAGGUGAAAUUCGUAGAUAUUCGGAAGAACACCAGUGGCGAAGGCAGCUCGCUGGGACGGAACUGACGCUGAGGCGCGAAAGCGUGGGGGAGCGAACAGG
rnacentral:rRNA from 1 species